GACGAACGCUGGCGGCGUGCUUAACACAUGCAAGUCGAACGGUGAAGGGACCAGCUUGCUGGUUCUGGAUGAGUGGCGAACGGGUGAGUAACACGUGAGUAACCUGCCCCCUUCUUCUGGAUAACCGCAUGAAAGUGUGGCUAAUACGGGAUAUUCUGGGUCUGUCGCAUGGCGGGCCCGGGAAAGAUAUUGCUUCGGUGGGGGAUGGGCUCGCGGCCUAUCAGCUUGUUGGUGGGGUGAUGGCCUACCAAGGCGGUGACGGGUAGCCGGCCUGAGAGGGUGGACGGUCAUACUGGGACUGAGACACGGCCCAGACUCCUACGGGAGGCAGCAGUGGGGAAUAUUGCACAAUGGGCGCAAGCCUGAUGCAGCGACGCCGCGUGAGGGAUGGAGGCCUUCGGGUUGUAAACCUCUUUCGCCAGUGAAGCAGGCCUGCUCCUUGUGGGUGGGUUGACGGUAGCUGGAUAAGAAGCGCCGGCUAACUACGUG
rnacentral:rRNA from 1 species